rnacentral:rRNA from 2 species
UGAGGAAUAUUGGUCAAUGGGCGCAAGCCUGAACCAGCCAUCCCGCGUGAAGGAAGAAGGCGCUAUGCGUCGUAAACUUCUUUUGCAGGUCAAGAAUGUUCCGUACGUGUACGGGAUUGACGGUAAUCUGUGAAUAAGCAUCGGCUAACUCCCUGCCAGCAGCCGCGGUAAUACGGAUGAUGCGAGCGUUAUCCGGAUUUAUUGGGUUUAAAGGGUGCGUAGGCGGAUUGAUAAGUCAGUGGUGAAAUCCUGCAGCUUAACUGUAGCAUUGCCGUUGAUACUGUCAGUCUUGAGUAUGGUUAAGGUAGGCGGAAUGUGUAAUGUAGCGGUGAAAUGCUUAGAUAUUACACAGAACACCGAUUGCGAAGGCAGCUUACUGAACCAUAACUGACGCUGAGGCACGAAAGCGUGGGGAGCGAACAGG